rnacentral:rRNA from 1 species
UACGUAGGAUGCAAGCGUUGUCCGGAUUUAUUGGGUUUAAAGGGAGCGUAGGCGGCCUAUUAAGUUAGUGGUGAAAACGGUCGGCUUAACCGGUUACCCGCCAUUGAUACUGAUAGUCUUGAGUGCGACAGAGGGUGUUGGAAUGUGUGGUGUAGCGGUGAAAUGCUUAGAUAUCACGCAGAACACCAAUUGCGAAGGCAGAUGCCUAUGUCGUAACUGACGCUGAGGCACGAAAGCGUGGGGAGCAAACAGG